CCUGCUGCUUCACACUGGCCCCUUGGGACCAUGUGGCCCAGCAGUGCCACAGUGAUGUCCUUGCUGCCACAAGGCCACACAGUGUCACAGUGGUCCCUUGGAUCCAUGCUACCCCAAAGUGUCACAACGGCCCCUUGGUUCCAUGAAGAUCCAGAAGUGUCACAAUGGUCUCCAUGGUUCCACGUGGUCCUCACAGUGUCACAGUGGUCUCCAUAGGCAGGAAACAACCAAGCCCCAGUGUUGCAGGGGCCGAUGAGGGGCAGUCACCAGAGGCAAAGGGCAGCCAGAUUAGAUGGUACUGGCAGAUUUUGUCUGGGAGCAAUCUUGGAUAUACAGAAUUUUAGAGGCAGAAUAACAAUUUUGGACAUGGAUGACAGAAGCAGAAACACAGAUCUUUUCCAUAGGCAGGAAAGCAAGAGUUCCAAGGGCAGUUGAAAGGCAACUAUCAGAGGGCAAGGUCAGCCAGACCUCUCCUUUCUGGUAGCUUUUGUCUGAAAGCAAGCCUUGGAUAUAGGGAAUUUCAGAGAGAGAAUCCUAAUUUCUGCCAUUUCUGCACUGAUAAGCAGAAUGGUUUUUUCCAUAGGAAGGAAAGCACAAGUGUUUCAAAGGCAGAUGAGAGGUGGCUCCCAGGAGCUCAAGCAAGACAGACUUGUUUAUCCUGGCAGCUGCUUUUACAGAGGGAUCCUUGGAUAUAUUUUCAGAGGAGGAAUCUCACUUUUGACCACAGACAUGUUGACAAGCAUGACGGUUCCUUUCCAUUGGAAGGAAAGCACUGUGCCCUUGUGUUUCAAAAACAGGUGAGAGGUGGCCCCCAAGAGGCCAAGGGCAGCCAGACCUGUCUGUCCUGGCAGCUUUCACUUGGGAGCAAUCCUUGGAUGAAUAGAGUUUUGGAGAUGGACUCCAAGUUUCAGCCAUGGGCUCCUGGUGGAGAUGGAUGGUUUUUCCAUAAGAAAUAAAAGUGCGAAAUCCAAGUGUUUUGGAAGAAGAAGAGAGGUGGCCAGCAUAGGCCAAGCCAGACAGACCUGUCUUUCCUGGCACCUUUCACCAGGAGGAAAUCCUUGGAUAUAGGGAAUUUUGGAGGUGGAAUAUCAGUUUUGGCCACAGGCACCUGGACAGGAAGAAGAGUUCUUUUCAUUAGGCAGGAAAGCACAGAGUCACAGUGUUUCAAAGGCAAAUGAGCGCCAGCCCUCAGGAAGCCAAGGCCAGCCAGACUUGUCUCUCCUGGCAGUUUUUUCUGCGAGAAAUCCUUGGGUAUAGAGAAUUCUGGAUGUGGAUUCCCAACUUUGGCUAUGAAUGCCUGGAUGUGAAAGUGCUUUUUUCCUGUAGGAAAGAAAAUCACAUGGUCCCAGUGUUUCAAAGGCAGAUGAGAGGUGGCCCCCGGGUGGCCAAGCCAGCCAGAUCUGUCUGUCCUGGCAGAUUUCAUCUGGGAACAAUUCUUGGAUAGACAAACAUUUGGAGAAGGAAACCCAGUUUUGGCCAUGGACAACUGGAGGAGAAGGACAGCUCUUUCCCACAGGAAGGAAAGCACAGAGCCCCACAGCUCCAGGGGCAGAUGAGAAGCAGCCCUCGGCAUGCCAAGGUCAUCUGGGCCUGUCAGGUGGUCCCCAGGAGGCCAAACCAGCCAGACCUGUGCCAUGUCCCCUUGGUUCCAUGGGGCCCCACAUGUCACAAUGGUCUCCUUGAGUCCAUGAGGCACCUCAGUGUCACCAUGGCCCCUUGGUUCCAGGAGAUUCUGUGCUGUCAGCAAUGUCUCCUUGCUUCUCCAGUGUCAAAAUGGCUGCAUGAAGGGCUUAGGGUUCAAAAAACAGAGCAGGAUCUCAGCCCAUGGUCUGGACCCUCCUUCUCCUGGGGUUUGUGUCUCACCCACACUGGAACCCAAGCAGUUGGUAGCUGAAUAGAAGAGGUGAUAGAAGCAUUCCUCAAGUGAUCUUGAUGCUGAAUGUCUCCUUAGGAGGUCUAGGCAUGGAGAAGAAUGAGCCUGUUUUGGACUGACCCUGUUUGGACAACCUGCUCCUCACCCCCAACCUCACCAUGUCUGACAUCGCCCACCUGGGACUGAUAUCCCUGUGCCCUGCAGCAGAACCUUGUCCCCAAGCUCUGCAGCUCCAUGUCCCAGCCCACUGCACCGUGUCCCACCUGCUCUCCUCAGGGCUCUGCCUGCAUGGAGGCCCAGGAGAAGUUUUCCUGUUUGUAAGGAAGGAGUAGAAAAGCCUGAGCAGGUUUCCUGAACAACAAGCCCCACUCAGGAACCACCUGCUCAGUACAGGCUGCCUGGAAUGGUGUCACCUUUCUACAAGGGACAGUGUGACCAGAAAUGAUCUCUGGAAGCAGAAUUCUCAGAGUCUUGCAGCUGAAUUCUCUGUCCCUGUCCUUUCUCUGGAUCUCUGUUGCAGAUGGAAGCUGCUGGUGCCAUCCUCACCUUUAACGUCUCUUUGGAAUGCAAACAGAUGCUGCCAGGUGUGUUAAGCAGGAUUUGCUCAAUGUUUCUACAAAACUUUUGUGUUCCUCAUGGAACAAAGGGACCAUUUUGGCAAUGAGGGGGGGACGUGGAAACAAGGAGUCAAUUGUGACCCUGGGGUCCCAUGGAACCAAGGGGCCAUGGUGACACAGCAGGGCCACAUGGAUCCAGUGGUCCAUUGUGACACUGUGGAUCCAAGGAGACCAUGGAGACACCCCUGGAACCUCAUGGAACCAAGGAGUCCAUGGUGACCCAGCGGGGCUGCAUGGAGCCAAUGGUCCAUGGUGACACUGCCCAUCCAAGAUCCAAGGAGGCCGCUGUGACACUGUGGGAACUCAUGGAGCGAGGUGGGCCAUUGUGACACUGAAGAACUUCAUGGCACCAAAUAUCCAUGGUGACUCAGCAGGGCAUCAUCGGAACCAAGGAAGCGCUGCUGGCAGUACAGAAACUCACAGAACCAGGGGCCCUUGUAGUACUGCAGAACCAACAGAGCUGCUGGACCUUGUUCCCUGGCCCUGCACAGCUCCUUGGGAGGCACGGCAGGAGCAGCACCCUGGGAGCCUCGGGAAUGCCCCUCUGGGAUCCAUGGCACUCCCAGGGGCUGGAAUUCCAGUUCCCAGCCAGGAAAAGAUGUUCCUGCCCUUGAAGGCAAAGCUCUUAAGGAGGAGCCAAAAGUCAAGUGGAGCAAGAUCUUACAGUGACAUUUCACUGCCAGCCUUCAUAACUUCACCCAUGGUUGCUGUAGCUCCUAGAUUGGGAAUUAAUCAGGCAGGGUCUUUGGUGGGAGCUGCCCUGGGUCAAGGGAGACACAGAGAGAGAAACAGAGCAGGCAGAGAGAGGCAGGAGAGACAGGAGGACACAAACACAAUCAGCUGAGAAGGUGGCACUCUGAAAACAGAGCUACAACUGACUGAAAAGGAAUGGGACAGAAAGAAAUAAUUUUGCUUUCCUUUUCCACAAGGAAAGAGGAAAUGGGGAUUUUCCCACUCCUGGGGAGUUUGACAUCCUCAGCUGAGGAGAGGAGGAGGCACCAGAAGAAAAGGGCAGCUGGGCUUCACCCUUCUGCAGGGAAGAGGGGGGAAAAGAAUCUCUCAUCCUGUCUGCAGCUGCUCCCACAGGGAUGUGAGGGCUGAUCCCAGAGCCCCAAGGGUCACAUUCAGGGCUGCACUCAGGGAAUGCUCGCCUGGUAUUGAGGGGCAGCUUGGGAGCACCUGGAUCUUGGAGCAUCCAGCUGCCCCCCAUGUUUGGAGGUGCCUGAGGAGGGCUGGGAGGAUGCCAGGGACAUCCUGCAGUGACAUCCCCCCUGUCCUGCUCUGGGUGAGCUCAGUCCCAGGCCUGACCCUGAUCCUGGUCUCAAUUUCACUCCACGUUUAGACACACUCACAGUUCUGUAUUUAAUCCCAUCCCAGUGUCAGACUCAUCAAGCCCCAGACCCAUUCCCAAUCCCAGCCCUAAAGCCAAUCCCAUGUCUAGCCUUAACCCCAAUCCCAGCUCUAAUCCAAAUCUCAGCUCUAACUCCAACCCCACCCCCAAAUCCAGCCCUAUCCUAAAUCCUCAGCCCCAAACCAAAUCCCAGGUCCAGCCCUUCUGGGGGUUUGGGGGUUUCUCUGUCCCUCUGACCCCGAUGAUGUUUGGGUGGUGUGACACCAGGGCUCAGAGGGACAGAGACCCCCCAGGGAUGAGAAGGUGGGAGAGCCCCCCCAGCCAGAAGCACUCUCAGCGGUGAGAGGGACACAGAGGCCCUGGUCCCCAGCCCUGCACAAGCAUUCCCUGAGGCCAGAGGGAUGGAGACCCCUGAGCAUCCCCCAGGGCGAGGGGACAGAGACCCCUGAGCAUCCCCUGGGCUGAGAGAGACAGAGACUGCCCUGAGCACCCCAUGGGGCAGAGUGAGAGGGAGGGAAAGCCCCCAGACAUUCCCUGGAGUGAGAAUGAUGGAGACCCCCUGGGGAAUGGCCUGGGGUGACAGGGACAACCCCUCAAGCAUCUCCCAGGGUGAGAGGCACGAACAGAGACCCCUUGAGCAUCCCCUGGGCACUGGACAAAAUAAAAUUGGCAGAAAUUAAAUUUAACUCUGCAUUAAUCAUUUUGAUGAAUAUUUGAUUUUCCCAAAAGUAACAUGUGAUGAAAAUGCAAAUAAAUCCCAAACCUGAAUAAACCGAUAAUAGAAACAAUGAUGUGUCAAUUCCAGGUUUCAUUGGUUCGUGCACAGCUCCAGCUCAGCUGCUGGCAGGUUCCCAUAAAAGAAAAGUGGAAAUUUGGCCCAAUACAGAUUAAAAGGAAGAGAAAGCAGUGUGGGGCUGUCACAAGGGGGACAGGGAAAAAAAGAAUAAUGAUUCUCAUAUGUGGCAAAGCUCCUAAGCCUGUGAAUUUGGCAUUUAUGUAGGAAUUUAGCUACUUGAGCUGGACUUCUUGUGCGACUUUUAGCAGCCUUGUGUUCCUGACCUUGGGGUGAGUGAACCUUGUCAGUCUCACUGGUAUCAUUUGCUCCCUUUCCUCCAGUGUUUUUAACAAAGUUUUCAAGGAAGGAGAACAAAACAUUUUCUUUCCACUGGCCACCUAGCCACCUACAGCCUUUUUCCUCAUCAGUUCUUACAUAAGUUGCUCAGAUGAAGCUGCAUCCAAGUUUCCAGUGGUUCCUCCAGAGAGGACCACAACCUCCUCAGAGAAGGGAACCAUGCUGUUAUCAAAGGCACUUGGAGUCAGAGAACAGUGCCUAAACUCCCUGUGCCAAAAAAAUGUUGCAAUCUGGUUAAUAAAAUUGUUAGAGAAAUGCCUCUGCCCCAAUUAAGCUGCUACCAAGACCAAAUCCAAAGUGGAUUGUAUUGAACAGCAAGUGUGAGGUAGAGAGAGACAUGGAAAGAAAGAGAAAAGGGGGGACAACAAGGAGUGACAAGGACAGAGACCUCCCCUGGGGCGGGGCAAGUGUGACGGGGCAGUGUUCUUUAUCUCUUCCAUGACUCAGCCCUGAUAACGCCCUCCAGGGGCUCUCUUCUGUGAAUGGGCCAUUGAGUGUCCCUGCAGGACUGAUAAAAUGACAUCAUCCCAUUGUGGGAUGCUCCGCCCAGGGGGAGGAGCCAAGCAUUCCUACCUGGAUAUAAGCUGAGGCUUCUGACACCAGGAGCACCUUGGCUACUGGAUUCCCAGAGGACAAGAGCUCCAUAAGCACCACUGGACCUUCAGAGGAAGACCAGACCCUAC